AAUAAGUGUAAUUUUACACUAUUCACGUUCAACGUUUGAUCGUUCGUCUUAUUUAAUUUUUUUUAUGAUUAGUAUUUUUAUUGCUAUUAGAUAAUAAAACGUGAAUAAUACUUUACAUAUGGCUAAAUAUUUUUAAAUUUUUCACAAAUUUUUUCAAAUAAAACGGACGGUUAAACAUUGGACACGAAUAUUCACGGCUGCACUUAUU
rfam:Oryza glaberrima chromosome 5 Oglab05_0133_10, whole genome shotgun sequence.